rnacentral:rRNA from 1 species
CUGGCGGCGCGCCUAACACAUGCAAGUCGACGGAGUUCCCUUCGGGGGUAGCUUAGUGGCGGACGGGUGAGUAACACGUGAGGAACCUGCCUUUGAGAGCGGGAUACCGUCUGGAAACGGACGUUAAUACCGCAUAAUGCAGCGAGGCCACAUGGCCAUGCUGCCAAAGAUUUAUCGCUCAAAGAUGGCCUCGCGCCUGAUUAGAUAGUUGGCGGGGUAACGGCCCACCAAGUCUGCGAUCAGUAGCCGGACUGAGAGGUCGAACGGCCACAUUGGGACUGAGAUACGGCCCAGACUCCUACGGGAGGCAGCAGUGGGGGAUAUUGCACAAUGGGCGAAAGCCUGAUGCAGCGACGCCGCGUGAGGGAAGACGGUUUUCGGAUUGUAAACCUCUGUCUUCGGGGACGAAACAAGACGGUACCCGAGGAGGAAGCCACGGCUAACUACGUG